GUGUGCUGUGAGGCAUGCUGGAGGUAUCAGAAGUGCGAAUGCUGACAUAAGUAACGAUAAAGCGGGUGAAAAGCCCGCUCGCCGGAAGACCAAGGGUUCCUGUCCAACGUUAAUCGGGGCAGGGUGAGUCGACCCCUAAGGCGAGGCCGAAAGGCGUAGUCGAUGGGAAACAGGUUAAUAUUCCUGUACUUGGUGUUACUGCGAAGGGGGGACGGAGAAGGCUAUGUUGGCCGGGCGACGGUUGUCCCGGUUUAAGCGUGUAGGCUGGUUUUCCAGGCAAAUCCGGAAAAUCAAGGCUGAGGCGUGAUGACGAGGCACUACGGUGCUGAAGCAACAAAUGCCCUGCUUCCAGGAAAAGCCUCUAAGCAUCAGGUAACAUCAAAUCGUACCCCAAACCGACACAGGUGGUCAGGUAGAGAAUACCAAGGCGCUUGAGAGAACUCGGGUGAAGGAACUAGGCAAAAUGGUGCCGUAACUUCGGGAGAAGGCACGCUGAUAUGUAGGUGAAGCGACUUGCUCGUGGAGCUGAAAUCAGUCGAAGAUACCAGCUGGCUGCAACUGUUUAUUAAAAACACAGCACUGUGCAAACACGAAAGUGGACGUAUACGGUGUGACGCCUGCCCGGUGCCGGAAGGUUAAUUGAUGGGGUCAGCGCAAGCGAAGCUCUUGAUCGAAGCCCCGGUAAACGGCGGCCGUAACUAUAACGGUCCUAAGGUAGCGAAAUUCCUUGUCGGGUAAGUUCCGACCUGCACGAAUGGCGUAAUGAUGGCCAGGCUGUCUCCACCCGAGACUCAGUGAAAUUGAACUCGCUGUGAAGAUGCAGUGUACCCGCGGCAAGACGGAAAGACCCCGUGAACCUUUACUAUAGCUUGACACUGAACAUUGAGCCUUGAUGUGUAGGAUAGGUGGGAGGCUUUGAAGUGUGGACGCCAGUCUGCAUGGAGCCGGCCUUGAAAUACCACCCUUUAAUGUUUGAUGUUCUAACGUUGACCCGUGAUCCGGGUUGCGGACAGUGUCUGGUGGGUAGUUUGACUGGGGCGGUCUCCUCCUAAAGAGUAACGGAGGAGCACGAAGGUUGGCUAAUCCUGGUCGGACAUCAGGAGGUUAGUGCAAUGGCAUAAGCCAGCUUGACUGCGAGCGUGACGGCGCGAGCAGGUGCGAAAGCAGGUCAUAGUGAUCCGGUGGUUCUGAAUGGAAGGGCCAUCGCUCAACGGAUAAAAGGUACUCCGGGGAUAACAGGCUGAUACCGCCCAAGAGUUCAUAUCGACGGCGGUGUUUGGCACCUCGAUGUCGGCUCAUCACAUCCUGGGGCUGAAGUAGGUCCCAAGGGUAUGGCUGUUCGCCAUUUAAAGUGGUACGCGAGCUGGGUUUAGAACGUCGUGAGACAGUUCGGUCCCUA
rnacentral:rRNA from 1 species